GCGGGAUACGUCCCGCAGGGAUGUGGCCCCCCUUCAAGGGCUGAACCGUGAA
rnacentral:ncRNA from 1 species